UCUCGGUUAGUAUAGUGGUCAGUAUACGGGCUUGUCAUGUUGUGACAAUCCGCCCGGGACCCGGGUUCAAUUCCCGGACUGAGAG
rfam:Pseudomassariella vexata strain CBS 129021 BCR38scaffold_2, whole genome shotgun sequence.